rnacentral:rRNA from 1 species
UACGUAGGUGGCAAGCGUUGUCCGGAAUCAUUGGGCGUAAAGAGCGCGCAGGCGGUCGUUCAAGUCGCGUGUGAAAGCCCCCCGGCUCAACUGGGGAGGGUCACGCGAUACUGAUCGACUCGAAGGCAGGAGAGGGAAGUGGAAUUCCCGGUGUAGUGGUGAAAUGCGUAGAUAUCGGGAGGAACACCAGUGGCGAAGGCGGACUUCCUGGCCUGUUCUUGACGCUGAGGCGCGAAAGCUAGGGG